rnacentral:rRNA from 1 species
ACUCAAAUGAAUAGACGGGGACCCGCACAAGCGGUGGAUGAUGUGGUUUAAUUCGAUGCAACGCGAAAAACCUUACCUACCCUUGACAUGCCAGGAAUCCUGCAGAGAUGUGGGAGUGCUCGAAAGAGAGCCUGGACACAGGUGCUGCAUGGCCGUCGUCAGCUCGUGUCGUGAGAUGUUGGGUUAAGUCCCGCAACGAGCGCAACCCUUGUCAUUAGUUGCUACGAAAGGGCACUCUAAUGAGACUGCCGGUGACAAACCGGAGGAAGGUGGGGAUGACGUCAGGUCCUCAUGGCCCUUAUGGGUAGGGCUACACACGUCAUACAAUGGCCGGUACAGAGGGUUGCCAACCCGCGAGGGGGAGCUAAUCUCAGAAAACCGGUCGUAGUCCGGAUCGCAGUCUGCAACUCGACUGCGUGAAGUCGGAAUCGCUAGUAAUCGCGGAUCAGCAUGUCGCGGUGAAUACGUUCCCGGGUCUUGUACACACCGCCCGU